AAACUUUCAACAACGGAUCUCUUGGCUCUCGCACCGAUGAAGAGCGCAGCGAAAUGCGAUAACUAAUGUGAAUUGCAGGCAUCGUGAAUCAUCGAGUUCUUGAACGCACAUUGCGCCCUGUGGUAUUCCGCAGGGCAUGCCUGUUUGAGCGUCGGUU
rnacentral:rRNA from 1 species